GUAGGGAAUAUUGGGCAAUGGUCGGAAGACUGACCCAGCCAUGCCGCGUGCAGGAAGACGGCCCUCUGGGUUGUAAACUGCUUUUAUCUGGGAAGAAAAAGGCCAUGCGUGGCAAAUUGCCGGUACCAGAUGAAUAAGCACCGGCUAACUCCGUGCCAGCAGCCGCGGUAAUACGGAGGGUGCGAGCGUUGUCCGGAUUUAUUGGGUUUAAAGGGUGCGUAGGCGGCUGAUUAAGUCAGCGGUGAAAGACUUCGGGUUAACCGGAGCAGUGCCGUUGAUACUGGUUGGCUUGAAUGUCGGAGGGGUACAUGGAAUUGAUGGUGUAGCGGUGAAAUGCAUAGAUACCAUCAGGAACACCGAUAGCGAAGGCAUUGUACUGGCCGACAACUGACGCUGAUGCACGAAAGUGUGGGGAUCGAACAGGAUUAGAAACCCGGGUAGUCC
rnacentral:rRNA from 1 species